rnacentral:rRNA from 1 species
UGAGCUUGAUCCUGGCUCAGAUUGAACGCUGGCGGCAUGCUUUACACAUGCAAGUCGAACGGUAACAGGCAGCUUGCUGCGCUGACGAGUGGCGAACGGGUGAGUAAUACAUCGGAAUGUACCCAGUAAUGGGGGAUAACGCUUCGAAAGGAGUGCUAAUACCGCAUACGCCCUAAGGGGGAAAGAGGGGGACUCGCAAGAGCCUCUUGUUAUUGGAGCAGCCGAUGGCUGAUUAGCUAGUUGGUAGGGUAAAGGCCUACCAAGGCAACGAUCAGUAGCGGGUCUUAGAGGACGAUCCGCCACACUGGAACUGAGACACGGUCCAGACUCCUACGGGAGGCAGCAGUGGGGAAUCUUGGACAAUGGGCGAAAGCCUGAUCCAGCAAUGCCGCGUGCGUGAAGAAGGCCUUCGGGUUGUAAAGCGCUUUUGUUAGGGAGCAAAUCCUUGUGGCCAAUACCCACCGGGGAUGAGAGUACCUAAG